GAUUCAGUGGCGAACGGGUGAGUAAUACGUAGGCAACCUGCCCCAAAGCGGGGGAUAGCAGUUGGAAACGACUAUUAAUACCGCAUAGGUAAUAGGGAGGCAUCUCCUUAUUAUUAAAGGUGCGUUUGCACCGCUGUGGGAUGGGCUUACGCUGUAUUAGCUAGUUGGUGAGGUAACGGCCCACCAAGGCGAUGAUACAUAGCCGGUCUGAGAGGAUGAACGGCCACAUUGGGACUGAGACACGGCCCAGACUCCUACGGGAGGCAGCAGUAAGGAAUUUUCGGCAAUGGACGAAAGUCUGACCGAGCAACGCCGCGUGAGUGAUGAAGGUCUUCGGAUCGUAAAGCUCUGUGGUAAAGGAAGAAUACCAUGUUUAGGAAAUGAUUCAUGGCUGACGGUACUUUACUAGAAAGUCACGGCUUACUACGUGCCAGCAGCCGCGGUAAUACGUAGGUGGCAAGCGUUAUCCGGAUUUAUUGGGCGUAAAGGGUGCGCAGGCGGUCUGUUUAGUCUGAGGUGAAAGCGUUGAGCUCAACUCAAUUAAGCCUCAGAUACUGGCAGACUAGAGUGCAGAAGAGGGUUAUGGAAUUCCAUGUGUAGCGGUAAAAUGCGUAGAUAUAUGGAGGAACACCGGCGGCGAAGGCGGUAACCUGGUCUGUUACUGACGCUCAGGCACGAAAGCGUGGGGAGCAAAUAGGAUUAGAUACCCUAGUAGUCCACGCCCUAAACGAUGAUUACUAAAUGUUGGGGAAACUCAGUGUUGUAGCUAACGCAAUAAGUAAUCCGCCUGGGGAGUAUGCACGCAAGUGUGAAACUUAAAGGAAUUGACGGGGCCCCGCACAAGCGGUGGAGUAUGCGGUUUAAUUCGACGCAACGCGAAGAACCUUACCAGGGCUUGACAUCCCCUGCAAAACUAUAGAGAUAUGGCAGAGGUUAUCAGGGUGACAGGUGGUGCAUGGUUGUCGUCAGCUCGUGUCGUGAGAUGUUGGGUUAAGUCCCGCAACGAGCGCAACC
rnacentral:rRNA from 1 species